CUGGAGACUCCUAUGGAUGGAGGAGCCUGGCGGGCUGCGGCUCAAAGCGUCGCCAAGAGUCAGACACGACAGAAGCGACUUAUCCUGCACGCAGGAGGAAGUGAGCAAGGCCCUGAGAGACAUCUGGACCACAGGGCACACGGUCUGGAAGGUGAGGACAUCGAGGAUCAGAUGGCCCCUCUCUCUACUUGCUCCUGGGGUGGGGCAGUCGUCCCCGCUUCUCUCCAGGGCUCCCCUGCUGGCCAGCUCUCUCUCCUCCCUCAUAGGUCCGGCCCCUUUCUCUCUCCGGCUUCUUUGGGGGUCGAAGUCACCCCACCUUCAUCCCAGCUGUGACUCUAGAGAUGCAGGCUUAUGGCCUCAGCUCCCGCUGCCACCAAGACCCGCCUGCAUCCCAGUUCCCAGGAGGAUGCUGCUUGGCCCAUCUUCUUGACCACGGCCACCCAGGCCACAUGCCCUUGGCAUCCGAGCAGCCGGCUGCACUUGGUCCAACAUCCACCCUGUUCCAGAUGGCCUGGGCAGGGGACGGGGGUUGGGACCGCGGUGGCUGCACAGAGGGAUGGCUGUUUGCCCGGAGGAGCUGUGGGCAGGAAGGCGCUAUCAACACAGAGGACAGCAAGGCGAAGGCAGGGAGCUUUCAUUUUGGUUUUUAUUAAUUCUCACAACUCCCCACGCGGACAGUGGGAGGAACCGGGUCUGCAGGGUCAGCAGAUCCUCUGAUGAACAGAAUGUGCAACUCUUUCCAGCGUGAUUAGUUUCACUUUUUUUUUUUUUAAUCUGUGAAUUGUUGGGUCAAUUCCCAACAUCAUGAAGAGCCAGGUUUUGUUCAUCUUGGCGUCCAAAUGAUGUUUUCGAAAUCGGAACUAAAAUAAAGCAGUAACAAGACGAAAGAAGCAACAUCCUGUUUUAUGGAGGGUCUGAUUAAAAAAAAAUACGUGAGAAAAAACACUCUGUGUGCCGAGUAAACAUUUACCCCCCCAACCCCCCACACUGUUGGGAGAUGGAGUAUCUGACCAGGACACGAGAAGACGAGUCUCAGGAUGGGCACAUCACCCCUCCCCCUCCCCGAGGCCUUGGCAUGACUCAUUGGUCACGUUGCCUGGUACCAUGCAGUCCCCGCCCUCCUGAGGGCUGCGGCAGACGGAAUGUCACCACAGAUGGAGAAGAGCUCAAUCAAGCACAGGUUCUGGGACCUUGACCCCGAGAGGAUGUGCAUUUUUAGCAGGUCAGGCGGAGGCCCCUCCCGGCGUGGGCAGGCGUGAGGGUGCCCCUCGCACUCCCCUGCAUCCCCACCCGUCACCCUGGCUGCGGCGCUCUUCCCCGGGGGUCAUUGUGAAGGUGAUGUGGGUUGCGUGGCGAUGCCGGGAAAAACUCACACACCUGGGUGAAGCACGCAGACUGAUGCUGACGCCGGACAGCGAGAACAGCCGAAGUCUUAUCAGAGGAGUCCCCAGCCCAAGUCCACCUGGUGCCAAUUCUGAGCCUCUUUUCCCAUGAAUGAUGUCUGGAGACCUCUCGGCCUGGAACGUCUCAGUGAGCAGAGCUGGACCACGGCGUGGGAAGCAAGACAUAUCCGACAUCCAGCCCAGAGAGAAGGCUGGGAGCGUCGCAGCUCAGCUCUUCCAGCAACACCGAGGAGUCAGAGUCCCUAGAAACUCAUCACCGGCCAGCUCUGUUCACGCAUGCGCAAGAGCGAAAGUGUCCACUGAAGGGGGCACGUUUUACAGCAAAAUCUAGAACAGCAGGGAUGUCGGGACUUCAAAGCUCCCAUCUCCUCCUUGCUCCUCUGAUAUGGUGUCUCAGGAUUCUGGUAAGCUCAUCUCUAA